rnacentral:rRNA from 1 species
UACGAAGGGGGCUAGCGUUGUUCGGAUUUACUGGGCGUAAAGCGCACGUAGGCGGAUCUUUAAGUCAGAGGUGAAAUCCCAAGGCUCAACCUUGGAACUGCCUUUGAUACUGGGGAUCUUGAGUCCGGGAGAGGUGAGUGGAACUGCGAGUGUAGAGGUGAAAUUCGUAGAUAUUCGCAAGAACACCAGUGGCGAAGGCAGCUCUCUGGGACGGUACUGACGCUGAGGAGCGAAAGCGUGGGGAGCGAACAGG